rnacentral:misc_RNA from 1 species
GAUGAAGAACGUAGCGAAAUGCGAUAAGUAAUGUGAAUUGCAGAAUUCAGUGAAUCAUCGAAUCUUUGAACGCACAUUGCGCCCGCCAGUAUUCUGGCGGGCAUGCCUGUUCGAGCGUCAUUUCAACCAUCAAGCCCCCGGGCUUGUGUUGGGGACCUGCGGCUGCCGCAGGCCCUGAAAAGCAGUGGCGGGCUCGCUGUCACACCGAGCGUAGUAGAUUUUAUCUCGCUCUGGGCGUGCUGCGGGUUCCGGCCGUUAAACCACCCUUUUAACCCAAGGUUGACCUCGGAUCAGGUAGGAAGACCCGCUGAACUUAAGCAUAUCAAUAAGCGGAGGG